CGUUGAAAAGUGCGGGGAUGAGGUGUGGGUAGGGGCGAAAUGCCAAUCGAACACGGAGAUAGCUGGUUCUCCCCGAAAUAGCUUUAGGGCUAGCCUCGCGGCAAGAUUCCUGGAGGUAGAGCACUGAUUGGACUAGGGGCCCCCACAGGGUUACCGAAUUCAGUCAAACUCCGAAUGCCAGAGAAUUAUCCGCGGGAGUCAGACUGCGAGUGAUAAGAUCCGUAGUCAAAAGGGAAACAG
rnacentral:rRNA from 1 species